CUUGAUGGCGCCGAGCCACAGCGGCCGCUCCGCGUCCCGGUCCCGGCCGUAGGUGGCCAGCAGCGCCUGCGCCUC
rfam:Streptomyces autolyticus strain CGMCC0516, complete genome.